rnacentral:rRNA from 1 species
CUGGCUUCAGGUGCAGAAGAUCUUCGAUCCCGAAACCGGCCUUCCGACGCUCCACGCGCCGAUCACGACGCUGCUCGUCAUAGUUCCCGUUCUCGUCGCCGCGGCGCUCGGCACGGCCCUUUGUGUCGGCGCAACGGCGGGCGAACGACUUGAUCGAAUUGAAGACACGAAAACCCUGCGCGUCGGAACGCCGGGUGACUACAGGCCCUUCGCCAUGAAGGAAAACGGGCGCUACGUCGGCCACGACGUGGAGCUCCUUGAAGCCAUGGCCAAGGCCGCGGGCUGGAAGGUCGAGUACGUCGACACGUCCUGGCCCAAGCUUUCGGCCGACUUCAAGGCCGACAAGUUCGACGUCGCGAUGGGCGGCAUCACGCCCACGGUGGCGCGAUUGAAGCUCGGCGCCUUUUUGCCGGGUUACGUCACCUUCGGAAAGGUGGCGCUCGUGAACGCUUCGAAGGCGAAGAAGUUCACGACGCACGAGAGCCUCAACCGGCCCGACGUGCGCGUCAUCAAGAAUCCGGGCGGCACGAAUGAAAAGUACGUGCUCGAACACCUGACGAAGGCCCAGGUCUCGACCCACCCGAACAACGCCGAAAUCCCGGGCCUCAUCGCCGAAGGCAAGGGCGACGUCAUGAUUACGGAAACCAUGGAGGCGAAGCUCUACGCAAAGAAGUACGCGGGAAAGCUUCACGCCGCCUUCAUCGAAAAGCCGCUCACACCCAAGAGCGUGAUGGGUUUCUGGAUGCCCGCGGACGACGCCGAGUAUCUUCGCGUGAUGCGCUAUCUCUGGGACAUCACGGAACUUCGCGGCGAACACGCGGCGCUCGCGAAGACCUGGCUCGAAUGAUGCCGGUCUGACUGCCGCCGACGCGCAAACGACAAGGCCCGGGCGACGAACCCGGGCCUUCGCGUCUUCGGAACGGUGCCUUCAGCACUGUUUGGGACAGCGGUAGUAGGCGAGAAGCUUCGGACGGUAGAAGACGAGGGCCGUGAGGAGCGUGAAGAGCGCCACGCCCGCCAUGAUUUCGAGGGCCGGGUGGUAGCUGCGGCCUUCCAGAAUGCGGCGCGCGACGAGUUCGUAGGUCGAAUACGCCCAUUCGCAGGUGUAGCAGAGAAGACAGAGCUGCUGCAGACGGUUCAUGUAGCGCACCGGCACGAAGGCGAGAACGAGCGCUACGAUCGGGAGCGCGACGACCCACAGGGCGGCGCCGUGAAAGAGAAGAUGCGCCGCGAACAAAACGUGCGCGAGCGCGGGAAGAAUGAGCCAAAGCAUGGUUGGUAAGGGUUUGGUCGUGAGGGACGAUUCGAUCGUCCCCGUUAUUUUUGAGAACGGUUGCGGGGCUUUUCGGGCGCUUCCUUCGUGAACUGGUACCACAUGUGCUUGAUGGUGAGCACGGGAUGCGAAAAGAUGAGGCGCGGACCCGCCCAGCGCAUGAUGUCGCGGGCGCGGGCCUUUUCGGCCGGGCGGUAACAGUGGAUCUUGCACCGCGCGCAGGCGGGCUUGUCCGCCCCGUAGGGGCAGCAGGCGAGGCGCUUCAGGGCGUAGGCGAGAAACUCGCGGCAGUUGUCGCAGAGCUCCCCUUUUUUCGUGCCGUGAUGCGCGUGGCAAAAACUCGCCAAAGUUCUGACCCGCACGAAUGGCGUAAUGAUUUGGGCACUGUCUCAACAGCCCGCCCGGCGAAAUUGUAGUACUGGUGAAGAUGCCAGUUACCCGCAACUAGACGGAAAGACCCCAUGGAGCUUUACUGCAGCUUAAUACUGAAAUUCGGUAGUACAUGUACAGGAUAGGUGGGAGACUGAGAAAUACAGGCGUCAGCUUGUAUGGAGUCGCUGUUGGGAUACCACUCUUGUACUGCUGGGUUUCUAACCUGCGGCCGUGAAUCCGGUCGGGGGACACUGUUAGGCGGGCAGUUUGACUGGGGCGGUCGCCUCCCAAAAGGUAACGGAGGCGCUCAAAGGUUCGUUCAGCACGGACGGAAAUCGUGCAAUGAGUGUAAACGCAUAAACGAGCCUAACUGCGACACCGACGGGUGGAGCAGUAACGAAAGUUGGAGUUAGUGAUCCGGUGGUAUGUGAGUGGAAAUGCCAUCGCUCAACGGAUAAAAGCUACCCUGGGGAUAACAGGCUGAUCUCCCCCAAGCGUCCACAGCGACGGGGAGGUUUGGCACCUCGAUGUCGGCUCGUCGCAUCCUGGGGCUGAAUUCGGUCCCAAGGGUUUGGCUGUUCGCCAAUUAAAGCGGCACGCGAGCUGGGUUCAGAACGUCGUGAGACAGUUCGGUCCCUAUCUGUUGCGGGCGUAAGAGAUUUGAAGGGAGCUGUCCUUAGUACGAGAGGACCGGGAUGGACGUACCUCUGGUGCACCAGUUGUCCUGCCAAGGGCAUAGCUGGGUAGCUAUGUACGGACGAGAUAAACGCUGAAAGCAUCUAAGCGUGAAACUCCCCCUAAGAUGAGAUCUCUCAUCCUUCAAGGAGUAAGGACCCAGAAAGACGAUCUGGUUGAUAGGCCGAAGGUGGAAGCGCAGUAAUGUGUGCAGCUGAUCGGUACUAAUAGUCCGAGGGCUUGACCU